rnacentral:tRNA from 1 species
UGGCUCAGUUGGUAGAGCAUGGUGUUUGCAACGCCAGGGUUGUGGGUUCGAUUCCCAGC